AUUAAUUAAUCUGCAAAGAGAGAUUUGAGGAAUUCAGGGACCCACCAAAAUCAUUGGAAGACACCCAUUGACUUCAAGGAGAAUUGAUCAAGCCUUCAGUCCGCCUCUUACAUGUUCUUGAAUUGCUGGCAAUUUGCUUUCUUAAGCAGCUUUGCUUUCCAAUAAAUCAGUAAUAAGCACAGAUAACAAAGGUGGAGCAGACCUCCUGGAGAUGUUGUACUUUUUCAAAUGCUAUCUUUUAUUUCACCCAAAUUAUAUCUAUAUGCUCAUGGAGCUGGAGAUGAAUACACCUGAAUUUACCCCAGGACUUUGCUCAUCUCUGGCAACAACAUGCCUAGUUUGGGACUCAGUCUUAUGUGGACGCCCAGAGAACAGGAGGAGUGAGGACUCAUCACACACCUGGUGCAGCCACCUUGGUGUUUCCCUCAGAACAGGGGAAGGACAGAGAUUUCACACCCAGCGCUUCUUCCAUCCCCUGAGCGGGAGGAGCUGUGGCUGCAUAAGGGAGGGAAAUAAGAUCCAUCAAAAGAUUACAGGAAGUUACCUCUCCCUGGGAUCAGGAAGGGAGCAGGGAAAGAAUUGUUGCUUCCCAGCGCAGUGGCAGCUGCUACAAACUGCCUGUUACCAAGGCUGGAGGCUUAAUCAGAAUACUACCAAUUGUAAUGUGAAUGUAUUUCAUUUAGAAUACCAUCUGGUGUCUGAGUUUGGUACACUUGUAUUGCACUUGUAUUGCCAUGUGUACUGUAUUCUGAGAGUUGUUAGACUGCUUCUCGCUCAGCAAUAAAUUCUCUAUCCUUGCAUGUCAACUUACAGUGGUUUCCAUUUGCCUGUCACCUUUCACAGUGCCAGCAAUUACCUGGUCAAUGUUGACCCCUACUUGUUAAAAACCAAAUAGUAUAGUUCUGGUAAUGGAAUUAUUGGGAAAA